rnacentral:siRNA from 1 species
AGCCCAAUGGACCCAGACUAGCCC